rnacentral:rRNA from 1 species
GUGGUUCGUUACGUCGGAUGUGAAAAUCUGGGGCUCAACCCCAGACCUGCAUCCGAUACGGUCGAGCUAGAGUUUGGUAGGGGAGACUGGAAUUCCUGGUGUAGCGGUGGAAUGCGCAGAUAUCAGGAGGAACACCAAUGGCGAAGGCAGGUCUCUGGGCCAAUACUGACACUGAGGAGCGAAAGCGUGGGGAGCGAACAGGAUUAGAUACCCUGGUAGUCCACGCCGUAAACGGUGGGCGCUAGUUGUGGGAACCUUCCACGGUUUCUGCGACGCAGCUAACGCAUUAAGCGCCCCGCCUGGGGAGUACGAUCGCAAGAUUAAAACUCAAAGGGAUUGACGGGGCCCCGCACAAGCAGCGGAGCAUGCGGCUUAAUUCGACGCAACGCGAAGAACCUUGCCAAGGCUUGACAUAUACAGGAAUACGGCAGAGAUGUCGUAGCGGUAAAACGUCUGUAUACAGGUGGUGCAUGGUUGUCGUCAGCUCGUGUCGUGAGAUGUUGGGUUAAGUCCCGCAACGAGCGCAACCCUCGUUCUGUGUUGCCAGCAUUUAGUUGGGGACUCACAGGAGACUGCCGGGGUUAACCUCGGAGGAAGGUGGGGAUGACGUCAAAUCAUCAUGCCCCUUAUGUCUUGGGCUGCACGCGUGCUACAAUGGCUGGUACAAGGGGCUGCAAUACUGCAAAGUGGAGCGAAUCCCCAAAAAGCCAGUCUCAGUUCGGAUUGGGGUCUGCAACUCGACCCCAUGAA